UUUCCGUAGGUGAACCUGCGGAAGGAUCAUUGUAGGAUUGUUUUGGGAGGUGUUGUUGUGAUUUGUGGGGAUUGUGUGUUGUUGUUUGGAUUGCCUGGAUUGCCUGGCUGUCUGCAACUCGACUCGUCUCAUCACAACCACUCUUUACAUUGGAACAGACCAGUGGUCUAGUGUUUAGAGCACAGACUCGAUCUGAUGUUUGGAGCACAGACUCAGUCUGAUGUUUGCGCUUGCUCGUUUGACAGAAACAGUACCAGAUCAUUGCAAAACUUUUAACAAUGGAUCUCUUGGCUCUG
rnacentral:misc_RNA from 1 species